rnacentral:ncRNA from 1 species
UGAACGCUUAUGACCAAGCGAGUAGCGUAUACCUCUAUUGGAUAAGAGAGGGAAAGACCUAGGCUGCAAUCUUUCCUACAAAAAUGUAUUACGUGAACAACACUUGAGAGGCUCUUUUCUGAAAAGUUUAACUUAGUAGGAAAAGACGGAAUCGGCCGUUAUCCGAUUAUGAGGAGGAUGCACGUUUUUUUGUGCGUCAACUAGGGUGGAACCGCGGAAGCAUAUAUAGCUCUCGUCCCUUGC